UCACGAAAAGUGGAUUGUACUAGAAGUCUGCGCGCUAACCCGCAAGGGAGGCAGCGGCCCAAGGUAUGAUUCAUGAUUGGGGUG
rnacentral:rRNA from 1 species